UGAGUGGGAUCAGGGUGCAUGAUAUGAAAUCCAGAAAGAAUCAAUUAGAAGUUUUUAAAAAUAAGGGAGGGUGGGUCAUUAUCAAAAACAGUUGGGUGGAAGGCUUUGGGGUUGGUUUUAUUUAUUCUGUACUCACCCAGAUGUAUAGUAUAUAUAACUUAUUAAGUUGGACUUUUUUGUGUGUAUCACCUGCCUUCUCAAAUGUGCAUUUCACAACAAAAUAAGUAUGUAAAAAAAAAACCACAAAAUUCCGUGACAUGGAGGUAGUUACCAUUGUAACACAUUGCUAUAUCCACACUGCCAGAUGUCCUUUGAUGCAAUAUGUACAGUCUGCCCACAUUUCUUUCUAGCCUUUAAUUUUCCCCCCGUUAAUGAUAUGUGGUCAUAGAAGACUUCCUCUUUGAGUUUUUUGUUUCUUCCCAAUUUCCAUUUAAUUUUAACUAAGAGUAAAUAUCACGCAAGCUUUAUGCCUCUCUGGAAGCCCAAAGCCAUAGAAUGGCUUUCAGGAAAUUAGGUUGCUCUAGCCUAAGCUGCACUGAUUCACAAACCAAUCUGCAGGAUUUUGCCAUAGCUCAUGGGAGACCUUUUUCUUCUCUGUUAAUAAUGCAGCUGCUUAAAGAUAAAAGGCUGAAAGGGGGCCUCCUUUCCACCUCUUCAGGUGCAGUAGCUUCAAAAGGAAAGGCCAGCCAGUGAGUGGGGGAGCCUGGCAGGGUGGUGGCCUGGGGACUUGAGGCAAAGGCACAGCUUAGAGCGGUGUUUCUACGUGCCUGGUUCAUGCUACCUUGAUGUCAGACCCAGCCUCUUCCAGCAAACACCAUGGAACAGAUUUCCAAACUGAUUCUGGGAUUUUUUUUUAUUCCUGUAAUGAUUAAUAUUGAUUGUCAAUUUGAUAGGAGAAAAACUUCUGGGGCAUGUCUGCGAGGAGGUUUCUAGAUUGUGUUAACAAAGUGAGGAGACUUCCCUGAAUGUGGACAGCACUGUUUGUAGACUGGCAUCGUGGACUGAAUAAAAAGGAGAGAGUGGGCUGAGAGCUAGCAGUCAUCAUUUAAGCGUCCUGGCUGUGGACAUGACGUGGCUAGCUAGCUCACGUUCCUGCUGCCAUGACUUCCGGAGGAUGAUAAACUGCCCUCUCACACUGUGCGCCAUACGAGCCCUCCCUUCCUUAAGUGACAUUUGUGAGUGUUCCACCACAACUAGAGAAGUAGCCACAACAAACAGUAACCAAGACAACCCUAAAGCAGUUCUGUUGCUUUUCCUUGGCCCCAGGAUGUCACGCCAUGGUGCUUCCUUCUGCCCUGAACUUGACAAAGGAGAGAGAGCACAUUUGGGUUUUGCCAUCUUGCUCUGUCUCUUCUCUGAAUCUAAGCUCUUUUUUUUUCUGGUGCUCAUUCUGGAAGAGAAAAAAAGGAAUCACACAACAUCACCGGAAGAGGAGAAAAAGAAUAGAAGGCGGUCAGAUGUGAUGCUGGCAGGACUGGACACGGGGACUACAGGAAUCGGCAUCGGUGGGGAAUCCUGUGCUACUCUUGACCCUGCAGACUCUGUAGCCAGCAUCUCCUACAAAAGAGGAAGAGUCCAGCAGAAACCAAUACAAGCAGUUCCACAGCACCUUCUCUCUCUUAGCAUCAGUGACUCCAGGACCCCGUGUGCCUGUUUCUGCAAGGCCAUGAAAUUCCAAAGAUUGUCUUUUCUGCCCUUUAAGUUAAAAGCAGCUUAAAAAUAAAAGAUUGCCUAAAACCAG